rnacentral:rRNA from 1 species
CAAUAGCGUAUAUUAAAGUUGUUGCGGUUAAAAAGCUCGUAGUUGGAUUUCUGCUGAGAACGACCGGUCCGCCCUUUGGGUGUGUAUCUGGCUCUUUCUUGGCAUCUUCUUGGUGAACGUUGCUGCACUUGACUGUGUGGAGCGCUACCCAGGACUUUUACUUUGAGGAAAUUAGAGUGUUUCAAGCAGGCAUACGCCUUGAAUACAUUAGCAUGGAAUAAUAAGAUAGGACCUCGGUUCUAUUUUGUUGGUUUCUAGGAUCGCCGUAAUGAUUAAUAGGGACGGUUGGGGGCAUUAGUAUUCAGUUGCUAGAGGUGAAAUUCUUAGAUUUACUGAAGACUAACUACUGCGAAAGCAUUUGCCAAGGACGUUUUCAUUAA